rnacentral:rRNA from 1 species
UACAGAGGGUGCAAGCGUUGUUCGGAAUUAUUGGGCGUAAAGGGCGCGUAGGCGGUGCGGUAAGUCUUUUGUGAAAUCUCCGGGCUCAACUCGGAGUCUGCAGGAGAAACUGCCGUGCUUGAGUAUGGGAGAGGUGAGUGGAAUUCCUGGUGUAGUGGUGGAAUGCGUAGAGAUCCGGAGGAACACCAGCGGCGAAGGCGGCGUCCUGGACUGGUACUGACGCUCAGGAGCGAAAGCGUGGGGAGCGAUCCGG